rnacentral:lncRNA from 12 species
CAUAGUUCAUGGAUCCCUAGUGAAUAUACAAAUAUCCUGCAAACGAUGUGCCCUAGCAUACUGCAAACACAUGGAUAAAACAACUAACCAAGGAGCUGCUUAUAUCCUGACUCACCGUUUAUUAAUAAGUCGUUGUCAGCGCCUAAUAUGGAUCCGCACACGCAUAAAGAGUAAUUACAAUUGCAGAGAGAUACAUCUUUUAAAUAAAAUGUGUGGAAGAAGAGCAAAUAUUUCUGAAUAGAAUGAAAACAGUUGAAGGAAAUUAGCAAUGUUUUGGAAAUUGCAUACCAGUAUCUUCUUUAUUUAUUCCUAAUAGUGAGCUAACAUGCUUGCAGGAAUUGUACAGGUGUCUACACUGAGAAGUUGAUGUGGGAGAAAUAUCUAGGAAGCUACCCCAGCUAGCAAGAAAUGGGGAAAUGGCAUCAGGAGCAACGAUGGAUGCGUCGUCAGGAAAGGCGAGCCCAUCCCCUCCGCCUGUUGGAGACAAACAUCCCUGCUAGACAAGGGGACGGUCGACACGCGAACCUCUGGCCUUUAAGAAAGAGCAGCACUGAGCAGCCAAGCUCCAGACACUCUCAUGUCUCUGAAUCGAGUUUAAAUGAGUGACUAUCUUCAUACAGUUUCCUAUAAGCGAUCUGAAUCGGCCGCACAUUCCCCGAGGGUGCUCAUGGUCAUGGAUUGAUUUUCCUGGCAGCCUAGAAGGCCUUAUGUCUAAGGGACGCUUAAAUAAGUUUAUUAAGUAAGAUAAUUUAAGGAGAAAUCUUAAUCUCUGAAUUAUGCAGAACCU